UGGGGAAUAUUGGACAAUGGGGGCAACCCUGAUCCAGCAAUGCCGCGUGAGUGAUGAAGGCCUUCGGGUUGUAAAGCUCUUUUGGUCGGGAAGAAAGGAUUCGGGCGAAUACCCUGGAUUUUUGACGGUACCGGCAGAAUAAGCACCGGCUAACUACGUGCCAGCAGCCGCGGUAAUACGUAGGGUGCGAGCGUUAAUCGGAAUUACUGGGCGUAAAGAGUGCGUAGGCGGUUCGUUAUGUCUGCUGUGAAAGCCCUGGGCUUAACCCGGGAACUGCAGUGGAAACUGGCGGGCUUGAGUAUGGCAGAGGGGGGUGGAAUUCCGCGUGUAGCAGUGAAAUGCGUAGAGAUGCGGAGGAACACCGAUGGCGAAGGCAGCCCCCUGGGCUACUACUGACGCUGAGGCACGAAAGCGUGGGGAGCAAACAGGAUUAGAUACCCUGGUAGUCCACGCCCUAAACGAUGAUCACUAGGUGUUGGGGAAGCGAUUUUCCAGUACCGAAGCUAACGCGUGAAGUGAUCCGCCUGGGGAGUACGGUCGCAAGAUUA
rnacentral:rRNA from 1 species